rnacentral:lncRNA from 1 species
UGUUUCUUUAAUGUCAUUAGCUUGACAUAACCGAGGUGUCUAUGUUGGAUCUUCAGGUGGCACAUCUCUCUUGUUUCUAGACUUCACUCUCGACUCUGUAUUCUCCUUCACUGUAGCAUGGCCAACAAAAUUAGGCCGUUUUAACCAGGUGUAGCCUUCAAAACCUCUUUUGGUUUGGCAAUGUUUAGGGGUUUCAGAGGCCUAUCCACAUAGCUUUCCUUUUUGUCAGUGAAUUAGCCUCUUGAGCUAAGAUGAAAUCUACCAUCUUCUUGGUUCUUGAGUAUUUACCUUCAGUAGAUGCAUCCCUUGCUGAGUAACUGGUUGCCAUGUUCUGCACUAGCGGACCAUAAAAUUUUUUAUCUUUUCCUCUAUUACCUGUAACUGCUUCAGCUGAUUGGAUCAUAUUGCAAGUGUUAACUUUUUCUUGAAACUUCUUAGCUUGGUGGAUGGUGAAAGUUACUUGCUCUUCAUUAACUCGCAAUGUAAACUUUCCUUCCUAGACAUCAAUCAAUGUUCUUCCAGUGCUAGGAAAGGUAGACAAAGAAUCAAUGGUACUUUCUCAUCCUCCUUCAUGUCCAACAUUACAAAGUCCACCGAAAAGAUGAACUUAUCAACCUUUACGAAUACAUCUUCAGUAAUGCCCUUAGGGUAUGUAAUUGAUCGAUUUGCUAGUUGUAAGGUGAGGAUUGUGGGUUUUAUUUAUCCAAGACUUAGCUUCUUGAACACUGAUAGGGGCAUCAAAUUCAUGCUAGCUUCAAGGUCACACAGUGCUCUAUCAAAUAUGAUACCACCAAUUUUGCAAAGAAUGUUAAAGCUUUCUGGAUUUUUCAAUUUCGGAGGGAGUUUCUUCUGGAGAAUGGUACUAUACUCUUCUGUCAUCUUAAUUGUCUCUAACUCAUCUAGCUUCUUCUUCUUUGACAUCACUUUCUUUAAGAACUUGGCAUAGUUGGGCAUUUGGGCCAAGGCAUCUGCGAAGGGGAUGUUGAUGUGGAUUUUCUUGAAAACCUCCAAGAAUUUUGUGAAUUGCUCAUCAAUUUUUUCUUCAUAAACCUCUACAGGAAUGGUAGUAGUGUCUUCAAGAUGGGUGGAUUAUUUGGGAAUGAGAUUCAAUAAGGUUUAUGUGCUUCUUUUGCUAUCUCUGUCUCAGUCUUCUGCUCUUCAACUAGCUUUUCCUCCAUAAGUAUGGGAUCCGGUUUAGGCACCACAAUCUCUUUAGCCUUGCUUUCUUGAACUUCUUUACCAUUCCUUAGGAUAGCAUUGCAGUGCUCCCUUGGGUUAACCUCUGUAUCACUGGGAAAUUUUCCUCUCUGUUGAGACUGUAUCGCAAUUGCUAUCUAACCAAGCUGUACCUCUAAGUUCUUCACUAUGGUCCUCUAGUUGGUCAUGUUAGUCUCAAUGUUGUCAAGUCUUGACUCAUCUUUGUUG